CACAGACAACCAGGAUGUUGGCUUAGAAGCAGCCACUCAUUCAAAGAGUGCGUAAUAGCUCACUGGUCGAGUGAUCCUGCGCCGAAGAUUUCCGGGGCUAAAACUUACUACCGAAGCUACGGCAUCAGUAAUGAUGGGUAGGGGAGCUUCCCAUACGGGUUGAAGCAUGACCGUAAGGACAUGGGGACAGUAUGGGAGUGAGAAUGUUGGCAUGAGUAGCGAGAUGUGGGUGAGAAUCCCACAGGCCGUAAACCCAAGGUUUCCAGGGGAAGGUUCGUCCGCCCUGGGUUAGUCGGGACCUAAGCUGAGGCCGAAAGGCGUAGGUGAUGGACAACAGGUUGAUAUUCCUGUACUACCGAUAACCGUUUGAGAGA
rnacentral:rRNA from 1 species